CAGGCUCAGUCUCAGCCCCACACAGUUUCAGGUUAUCCUCAGUCCCGUUAGCCAGUUUCUGCGCAGGCUCAGUCUCAGCCCCACAGUCAGUUUCAGGUUACCGUCAGUCCCGUUAGCCCUUCUGCGCACGCUCAGUCUCAGCUCCACAGUCAGUUUCAGGUUACCAUCAGUCCCGUUAGCCAACUUCUGCGCAAACUCAGUCUCUUCCCUCUCACUGUCAGUUUCAGGUUACAGUGCCCCGUUAUUCGAC